AUUGAACGCUGGCGGAAUGCUUUACACAUGCAAGUCGAGCGGCAGCGCGGGGGCAACCCUGGCGGCGAGCGGCGAACGGGUGAGUAACACAUCGGAACGUACCCAGUUGUGGGGGAUAGCCCGGCGAAAGCCGGAUUAAUACCGCAUACGACCUGAGGGUGAAAGGGGGGGAUCGCAAGACCUCUCGCAGUUGGAGCGGCCGAUGGCGGAUUAGCUAGUUGGUGAGGUAAAGGCUCACCAAGGCGACGAUCCAUAGCUGGUCUGAGAGGAUGAUCAGCCACACUGGGACUGAGACACGGCCCAGACUCCUACGGGAGGCAGCAGUGGGGAAUUUUGGACAAUGGGGGCAACCCUGAUCCAGCCAUUCCGCGUGAGUGAAGAAGGCCUUCGGGUUGUAAAGCUCUUUCGGCAGGAACGAAACGGCGGCCCCUAAUACGGGUUGCUAAUGACGGUACCUGAAGAAGAAGCACCGGCUAACUACGUGCCAGCCGCCGCCGUAA
rnacentral:rRNA from 1 species